rnacentral:lncRNA from 1 species
GUGUUCAAGACCGAAGAGCACUGUUGCAAUUCAGGCAAAUGUGGACCUACAAAAUUCUCCAGGUUUUUCAAGGAAAGGUGCCCGGAUGCUUAUAGUUACCCUAAAGAUGAUGCAACAAGCGUCUUCACUUGUCCUGGUGGGACUAAUUAUAAGGUUGUGUUCUGCCCGUGAAGAUUGAAUCAGCUGCCUAUCAUUUGUUGGUUGGAAUUAUCUGCUAUACGUUGUAAGGUCGCUGCAAUAUAUGUGUAAGGAAUAAGGCUUUAAUUUGCCUUUGUGGCUUCAAGCCGUGUCACAUUAAUAAAUCUUCUAAAGUAGAGUUUAUAUAUAUACGAUUGUCAGAGAUUUUUCUUUUAUGAGUUGGAACAUAAAAUUUACAUGAAUAAAUAAAAUUAAGAGAGAAUGACAUGAUUUUUUUUUUUAUAAAAAAAAUUGAACAGAAACUUGUAAUGUAGAGAUUAUCUAAUGAUUUUUCAUUUUUACCACUUAGUUGCAUAAUUUUUUUUUAGUCAUUCAUUACCUCUCAAAAUGGCAAAGAAAAAAACAUAGAGCAAUGAUAGAGUGGUAGUUAAAAGGUGAAAAUGGUCCGGCAUGUUAAAAAAAAUCAAAUUUAUUCUCGAAUAGUAACAUUUUAAUGUUAAAAAUUAGAUGUCAUAAAUGUAAUGAUUAUUUUUUUUUAAAAAGAGAUAUUUAAGUGGUACAAAUGACAGACACCAGAGAUCUGUGUCAUUCUCUUACAAAUUAAAAAUAAUCAAAUAAGAGACGAGAAAGAGAGAUAUGCUAAAGGAUUUGAAUUAAUAAAAUAAUAAUAACAGAGAAACUAUCAAAGUAAGUGGAAAAAUGGCAAAAAAGAAAAAGACAUAUAUGUUGGGACAGUUAUUACAUUUGAUUUGUGGAUCUACCAGGAAUCAAGAAUUAGCUCUUAAGAAAACUUAUCUCCAAGGAAUUUUUAUUUCCUAAUGCUCUCCACUCAAUUAACUGAAAUUAAAAACCUGAUGAUCACAUUCAAUAUAUAGAUAUUGGACCUUUUACUUUACUUAUAAGUCAUCAAUGGUUUUGGAACUAAUUUACGAAAAUUAUGGUUCUUAAUUACUUGUCAAAAUUGGACACUGAUGAAAUCAUACUAACUGCCUAAAAUUUACUCUUAUUUUUUUUUGGCUUUGUAUAAUGUAUUUGUCAUAAUUUUAAGCCACAAUGAACUUGAAAUUAACUUUAGAUCUCAUUGACUGUGUUGUCUCUAUUAUAUCAUUAGUACUUGUAUUGAUUACCUAUCUACUUAGAAAGGAAGAUGAUCUCAUAGUAAUUUAUAAUUUUUUUGGGACUUGAUUAUCUUAUGAUUAUUAUUAUUGUUCAAAUCAAAACUUGGAACCCAAUUGAAACGUGGGGGCUUUGUCAUAGCAUAUUGUGAAGAAGUUAAAGCCAAGUUGAAAUUCAGAAGUGAAAGCAAGAAAAUAAAUAACGAAUCCUGAAGAUGCCACGAACAGAAGGCGAUUUCUGGUGAUGCUAAGAAUUAUUCUUUGAGAUAUUUAUUUUCGAGGACUUUUCGUCUGCUUCUAGUCUAUCCUUCUAGAUUACGGGAUUAUUAAGAUCAAAGCUUAAUCAAGAUUUUAUAAGUCGUUCUAACACUAUAGACUAUAUUAUUAAUUAAAAAUGUGCUGACUUAAAUUUUAUUCGUGGUAGAAUAUUUAUCAUUCGAAAUUGAGAUAGUCCCUCCACGUGUAUGCGUGGGAAAAUAUUUUAAUUUUUUCUUAUGUCAAAAGUGGCUGCAAAUUCGUUGUGUAAUUAAUUAUCAUUAGGUUAUAAUAGGUAGUUAAGAAAAAUAAUAAUAAUGGUUCAUGCAGUCUUAUCAUUUCUGGUAAUUGGUAAUUAUUUCUCAUCAAGACUUUUCUUCACUGUCUUUAAUGAAUGGUUGCACUAACAACUGAAAAGUCUAUCAAUGCUGUCGGGCCUCAACAUCAUGUGCCAUGUGUGAUCAAACUUCGGUGACAUCAGAACAGUAAAAAUUUCUCUAAAUGUAUGUGCAAUUUAUAUUUUCCGAGUUCUCAUAGUCAUAUACAGCGCAUAAUCUGCCUCAAGCUGCGCUUCUGGAUAACUAUUGCUUGACCCAGCCUGUGGAACGAGACUUCCGUGCACGUAUCAUCCUUAGUUAGGCCUCAACAAAAAAGACAUUAAAUUGGAGGCAUUUACUUCUUGAAUUUGAAUUGCCUUUUGAUUUUAAUUCCCAUCAAUUUUUAAGGAUUUUGUACUACGUGUCUAGCAUCAUAGAAGUCAAUGAGAUGAAACUUAUACUAAAAGCUAUCUCUCAUCUAGAACUUAAUUUAUUUACUUAGUCCAAAAUUACUUGCAACUAGAAUUAGGAUUUUUAUUUUUCAGCCAAUGUGUGGGAUUCACCUUAACACUCAUAUCAUGACUCAUGAGUUUAACUUUGUCACUAUUGAUAAACUUUUCAUUUCUUAAUGUAACCUCCUUAUGGUUCAUGUAGUUUUACUAGUUCAUUUUUAGUUCAUUUGCUCACGAACUAACUUAAACUCAAAAUACUUUCAUCGGCUUAUGAAAUUAGUUAGAUUUGGUUUAUUUACCUUAUUAUUAGUUUAUGGUUCAUGUAAUUAACCUUAUCAUUUCAUUUUGCUCACAAACUGACUUAUACUCAAAAGUAAGAUCAAUAAUUGAUGAUUGUUUGAAGUUUAUAUACUUAGUUCAAAAUUUAUUCUCAUGACUGAAGGUGGGAUUGUCGUAGCAUUAGUAUUGUAAAAGUAGAUAAUUGAAAUUUAAUUAUUACUUCUCCAUAUCUAAAAAAGCAUCGAAGAUCAAGACUAGCUGGUCCCCGAUGUAGUCGAGUCAUUGCAGCGAAACAACAAUAGAGUAAUUAGGCCACCUUGGCCUUUCCCACGAGGAAUAUUAAUAGUCGAUUUCCUCGACUAUAAUUAGGCCACGUUGGCCUGUCCUACGAGGAAUAGUCGAUUUCCUUGACUAUGAUUCAUGUAAUUAAACCAAAACGUCAUCAAUCAUACAAAAUUUUUAAUAAUAUAAUACGUAAUACCAGAGCCACCCCCGGCCACUGCCCGCUUCUAUAUAAAGCCUCAGAAGCACCACACAUAAACCAAACAUAAACCAAACUUAUCUAUUUUCAUAUUCAUUAUCCGCUCCAAAAUGAGAUUCAUUAAAGCUCUUCCCAUUUCUUCUGCUCUUCUUAUUAUCAUUUCCAUCACCCUGACUCAUGCUGCCAAAUUCGAUAUCACAAACAAUUGCCCCGACACCGUCUGGGCCGCCGCUGUGCCCGGAGGCGGCAGGCAACUCGACAAGGGUCAAACAUGGACCAUCACCGCCGCGCCAGGCACAAAAGCAGCCCGCAUUUGGGCUCGAACCAAAUGCCAGUUUGAUGCUUCCGGCAAAGGCAAAUGCGAGACCGGUGACUGUAACGGACUCCUCGAGUGCCAAGGCUACGGUGCAGCACCUAACACCUUGGCCGAGUACGCGUUGAAGCAAUUCAAUGACAUGGAUUUCAUUGACAUGUCCAACAUUGACGGAUUCAAUGUUCCCAUGGAAUUUAGCUCUGUCUCUCCCUCAUGCAACCGCGUGAUCAAGUGCACUGCUAACAUUCUUGGCGAGUGCCCUAAUGAAUUGAAGGUUCCUGGAGGAUGUAACGGGCCGUGCCCCGUGUUCAAGACCGACGAGUACUGUUGCAAUUCAGGCAACUGCGGACCUACAGGUUUCUCCAAGUUUUUCAAGGAUAGGUGCCCGGAUGUUUACAGUUACCCUAAGGAUGACGCUACCAGCACAUUUACUUGCCCGAGUGGGACCGACUACAAGGUUGUAUUCUGCCCCUGAAGCAUUUUUUUCAGGGGUAGAAAUGGAAAUAGAAAACUAUACGACGUAGUCUUCUGUAUUUGUUAUAAUAUUGGAAUAAGGACCGUGCGGUCUUCACUGCCAUAGAGCUGGAGCAGGCACAUGUAGUUAUGUGCGUGAAUUAAAAGGAGAAUAACUGAAAUUUUAUGGGGCUUCUUUACAUGCUGAGUUUUAACACAUUUCUAUACGUGAGAGGUUACGCAUUAAUUAGCAAACAACAACCCAAUAAUAACAAUUCACUGUAUGUAUAUAUUUGCGUUGAUCAACUACCGGCCAAAUUGAUAGUUAAAACUAAAUAAAAAUGUAUCUGUUUAAUUAUAUUAUCAUUGCCUAAUUGUACUUGCGUGUAAAAAGUGUUAUUUUAGAAAGAUAGAUAAAGAUAAAAUCAAUUUUUCAUCUUUCCCCUCCCAAAAGUCAAUUUUAUUAUUAGAAAAAUACUGAAAUCCGGGUGCUUUUCCUAGUCUAAUAUUUCCUAAACUUUUCUUAAAAUAACAACACGUGUCAUUUAAGUCUUUCUACAGGAUUUGAUCUAUCUUACGCUUGCUUUAUAAAACAGCAAAACAAAUGGUUUUGUUAUUUAGCUAAAACCGCGAGCCCUGUUUUAAUCAAAUUGCGUUCUCUUUCUUUACUUUCUUUUCUCACAAACUUCAAAUUUUUGCCUGUAAACUUGAGCAAAGCAGAAAUAUUGGCAUAAAUUCGUUAACAAUUUUGAAUGUAAUGGAAUUAGACGAGAAUUGAAUUGCAUCGUUGUUAUCGCUGUUACUGCUAGUCCGCUAGCAAUCACAAUUGGAGACACUUGAAGUUAUUGAUUUUGUCUGAUAUUGGAUCCUACUAUUGUGAUCGCUAUUCCUAUUUUACUACAUAUAUUGAUCCUCUUCUCUCAUUUCCAAGUUGAUUUUGGUCCUAAAAUUGAUGGUUUAUAAUAAAAAUUAAAAAGGUAGGGAGAGAGAGAGAGGGAAGAGAGAAAAACAUGCCCCAUUAAUUAUCAAAUCUUGUUUCGAUGAACAUGAAAUAGAGAAGAACAAACGAUUGAGAAGGAAAAAAAAAAAAAGAUUAAAAAAACAAAAUGAACAGACCCUUGUAAAGAAGUGCAGUUAACGUUUAUUAGACGUCUGUUGAUUUCAGAAUUUUCAGUUAAUCAACAAAAUGAUGUGUUUUUGUAUUUAUUAAGAAAAAAUUAAAAUAAAUUAAAUCUUAACCGUGGAAAGACUUAAAUAAUAUGUUUCAUUACCUCAAGAAAAACUUAAAAAAUAUUAAAUUAAGAGAAGAUCUAAAUAGAGAGUUACACAUUAUACAAAUUCGCGCAAAUUUGUAAUUUAUACAUACAACAAAAACAGUGUCACCAAUUUUUUUUUUAAAAAAGUAUGACAUCAUCUUAUUUAGAUUGAUCCAACACAGUCCAUCCUUUCCGAAGGCCCAAUUUACAAGGAUAUUGGGCCUGACUUGAUAACGAAUUUUUUGGACCAGAAUUUGUGCUAUAACCUACAAAGAAAGACCAGGUACUCAUAGGGGUGGGCACGGUUCGGCUCGGAUCGAAAUUAAGUAGAAUUGAUUUAAAUAAGUUAUUUUAUAAAAAGAAUCGAAUAAGAACCGAACUCAAAUGGAUCGGUUCGGUUUUUUCGGUUCUGGGCCUAUUGGGCCUAUUUUGAAAUUUGAAAUUUUUAGCUUAUUGAGCCUCAUGAAUGUAAUAAUUUUUUUCAACAAUUAGUUCAUCCUAAUUUCAUUACAAAUAUUAACAAUAAAUACAAAGUAUUCAAAACACAUUUUAUCACUAAUAUCUUACUAACUACUAAUAAGAUACUCACAAAAUAUGAAAUAUUAAAAUUUCAAAAUACAUAACCAAACUCCAAUGCUCCAUCUACAUAAACAUAAUCAUAAUGUUGUAAAGACAAAUAAAAAUAACAACAAUUACAACUUACAACACAAAAUAAAAAGAAAAUUUAGAAACAAACGCCAACAACAUUCUCUCAUUUUCACCAAAAAAAAAAUGCAAAUAAACGCCAACAACAUUCUCCCAUCUUCAUCAAUAUCAACAUCAACUUUAGGCAUUUUCCAACUCAAUAUUUGGAUCUAUAAAAAAAAAAAUUUAACACAUGUUGAUUUGAAUAAAAUCUAAAAUUAAUUCAGUUUUUCGGUUCGAUUUUACGGUUUAGCUGAGUGAACCAAAUACCGAACCGACAUUUUAAUUUUUUUUACAAAUGAUAGAUUUUGAUUUUUUUUAAAAUAAAAACCGAUCCAAAUUUAAAAAAAAAAAAAACACCAAUUCGAUUAAGUAUUUUUAAGACCACGGUUUUUUUUGCCCACCCCUAGGUACUCAUCUUUGCUCGUUUUCGCCGUAAGGGAUUCCAAAUGCCUCCUCGUAUUAACUCGAUAACUUGGUUUGACCCGACUCUCCACCCCGUGUUUAGUCUCUGUUGACUUUUGACUUAACUGGAUGUGGAGUUUGGAGCCCCACGACGAUAGUUAUAGUAGUAAUUAAUAAUAAUAAAUAUCUCAUCAUCAUCUUGAUAUGGAAAUUUCCAACGAGGGUUCCUGUAAAAUUUUCUACCCAGCUAGCUGCAAGCCUGCAACAACAAAACAGAGCUCAAUUAAAUCAAAGACGAGUACAUUAGAGUUGUUAAAUAUCUACAAGUACAAGAUGAGCUUCUCCAAUUUCCUCUUUUUGUCUGCUUUAUCCAGUUUUAUCCUGUGGUCGACCAGCAUCGAUGCAGCCGUUUUCGAAGUCCAGAACAACUGCAGCUACACGGUCUGGGCAGCAGCAAAUCCUGGCGGCGGCAGGGAACUACACCAAGGCCAAUCAUGGGUAGUCAACACCGACCCCAAUUUUAACGACAUAGGCCGCAUCUGGGCUCGAACCAAUUGCCGCUUUGACGCGAGCAAUGGCACCGGAAAAUGUGAGAGUGGUGACUGUAACGGGGUUCUUUACUGCGUAUCAGACGGUGCACCCCCAGUCACCUUAGCAGAAUAUUCAUUUCAAGGAGUCGACAACAUGGGUUUCUUUGAUGUCUCCGUGGUUGAUGGAUUCAAUGUUCCUAUUGAAUUUAAAGGAACGUCUAGCCGAUGCAAUAAAGUGAUCAAAUGUAGAGGUGACAUUAAUGGAUUGUGCCCCACUGAGUUGAGGCACCCCGGUGGAUGCAACCAUCCAUGUACAGUUUUCAAAAAUGCCCAGUUUUGUUGCACUGGUUCUAAUUCUACUGCGACUAAUUGUGGCCCUACUACGGCCUACUUCAAAUUUUUCAAGGAUCUGUGCCCAGAUGCUUACUCUUACUCCUUGGAUGAUGCCGCUAGCACAUUCAGUUGCUCGACUGGCACCGACUAUAAGAUCGUGUUUUGUCCUUGAUCCUUGAACCAUCUGCUUUUUCUUUUUCCCUUUUCUAUUCCUUCUUUCUUUUUCUUUUUCUUUCUUUUUUUUUUUUUCACCCCUGUUUUUGGUUUGGCUAUUGUUUCUUUCAGUUGUAUCGUCGACUUUUUAUCAUUUCUCCAGAAAGCUAAUAGAAACAUGACACAUGUACAAAGAAAAAAAAAUACAGAAGUAGAAUUUCUUCCUUUUCAUUUGAACAUAUUAAGAAUCUUUGUUCAUUUUGUAUUUAUUAAGAAAAAUUUAAAAUAAAUUAAAUCUUGACCAUAGAAAGACUUAAAUAAUAUGUAUCAUUAUCUCAAGAAAAACUUAAAAAAUAUUAAAUUAAGAGAAGAUCUAAAUAGAGAGUUACACAUUAUACAAAUUCGCGCAAAUUUGUAAUUUAUACAUACAACAAAAACAGUGUCACCAAUUUAAAAAAAAAAAGUAUGACAUGAUCUUAUUUAGAUUGAUCCAACACAGUCCAUCCUUUCCGAAGGCCCAAUUUACAAGGAUAUUGGGCCUGACUUGAUAACGAAUUUUUUGGACCAGAAUUUGUGCUAUAACCCACAAAUAAAGACCAAGUACUCAUCUUUGCUCGUUUUGUCCUUGACCCUUGAACCAUCUCUGCUUUUUCUUUUUCCCCUUACUGCUCGUGCUUUCUUGCUUUCUUUCUAUAUAUUUUUUUAAUUUUUUUAUUUCUUUAAUGUUUAACUAUUCUUUCUUUCAAUUGUAUCAUUGCUCUAUGAGCUAAUAGAAACAUGACACACAUACCAAAAAUAAAAUACGAAGUAGAUUUUUUCUAUUUGAACGUAUUGAGCCUCUUGUUCUUUUUUCUUUAAUUUUUUUUUGAACAUAUAAGAGAAAAAAGAACAACAAUAAUUGGUCAUUUUUUUUAUUGCCUAAUGACAAUCACGUUAGACCUGUUGUCUCUUGUCUGUUGGUCAGUUUGGAUAAGUGUUAUUUUCAGUCUUAUGAUGGUGUGCUGAGAAAAAUCCUUUAAUCAAAUCGCAUCCCAAUUCCCACAUGUUAUCAAUAAAAAUAAGUAUAAAUAAGGCAAGUUUAGUAAUGUUACAGCUUUUAAAAUAAUAGUUGUUAGUGGUAUUAUUGACUAUAAGGUUGUAUUCUGCCCCAUGGAAAUAGAAAACUAUACGACAUAGUCUUCUGUAUCUGGUAGAACAUUGGAAUAAGGACCGUGUGGUCUUCACAGUCAUUUCGCAGGCACAUGUAGUUUUGUGCGCGUAUGGGUACUGGAAUUAAAAGGGGAAUGAAUGAAGUUUUAUAGGGCUUCUUUACAUGUUGAGUUUUAAUAGAUUUCUAUACGGGAGAUGUUACGCAUUAAUUAGCAAACAACAACCCAACAAUAACGAUUCACUGUAUGUAUAUAUUUACGUUGAUCAACUACCGAACAAACUGAUAGUUAUACUAAAUAAAAAUGUAUUAUUAUGUCAAAAUAAAAAUGAAAAGUGUAUAUGUUAAUUAUAUUAUCAUUGCCUAUUUGUACUUGCGUGUAAAAAAGUGCUUUGAUAGAAAGCUAGCUAACGGUGCAUUAACCUCGUCACUUUUAUUUUUUUUAUUUUUAAUCUUUUUUAAAGGUAGAGAAAUGCAGGGGCGGACCCAAGACUUAUUAUUACCCCGGGUUAAAUUUUAAAAUUUAUAUUUUGAAACAAACAUAAAAAUUUAUAAGUAGACAAAAGUACAUUAAAUAAGGGGAACAAUAAGAACUCUAUCCCUAUAAAUAUGUACUAUAAACAAAAAUAAUUAUAAAAAAGAGUAGAAAACAAAAGACAAUUUAAAUAUCAAAACACUAUUUUUCAAUUAUGGAAUCUGACAUUACAACCUAUAAUAACUUGUAAUUAUUUAAGGAUUAAGAAAUCAAUUAAGAAUUCUAAACUAAAAUAGAUUAAUAUAUGUAAUUAUAAUCAAUUAAAAAUUACAAGUAAAACUUUUAUGUUUGAAAUCAAGUACUAAAUUACUACGCUUAAUAAAUUAAACAAUUAAAAUUUAUUCAUCCAUUCAAAUUAUAAAAGUAUUAUUAGUUAAAAGUUUUAAUAAUAAACUAAAUUCAAUUCAGGAAAAAGUACUUGGAUGCAAUUGUUUCUUUAUCAGGUGCUCUAACUCUUUUUAAAGAACUAGAUGUUGAUAAUUCUUCUAUCAAAAGCUCCUUAAAAUAUUCAAAUUUUAUUUUUUAACUUGUCCUCCUAGUUAAUGGAACCCAAAAUAAAGUCUGAAAAUUCAUAUAAAAAAUUUAUGUUGAUAAUUGUUAUUAUAUGUUGUUUUUAUAAGUAUUUUUAAUACCAUUGAUGAUGUUAUAUUACAUUGACAUACUUUUUUUUUUCAAUUAGAAGUUUUUAAAAAUAAAUUAAAGUAAUAAUAAAAUUUUAGCUCCCUAAUAUUUACAAUCUAUUCAAUAAAUAUAUAGUUUAAUCAUUUUAUAAAAUAAGUCACUAAUUUCAAUGAAAAUAAUAUAAUUGAAUUAGGGACAUAUUUGAAAAUAAAAUAAAAACUCUAUUGUUAUAUGAAAUUGAUGAAAAUAUAAAGGUAAUUGAUUUAGGGAUAUAUUUGCAUAUAAGAUAAAAACUCUAUUGUUAUACUAAAUUAAUGAAAUCAUAAGGGUAAUGAAUUAGGGACAUAUAUGAAAAAAAUAAAAAUUCUAUUAUUUUACUAAAUUAAUAAAAACAUAAGGGAUAUAAACGAUUUUUGCUGGACUAGACUGGGCUACAGCCCGGUCUAGCCCACGCAUAGAUCCGCCUCUGGAGAAAUGCAUAAAGAUCAAAACAAUUUUUCAUCUCCACCUCUCCCAAUAGUCAAUUUUAUUAUUAGAGAAACAUUGGAAUCAUAAUGCUCUCACGAUAACAGCAGGUGUCAUGUAAGUCUUUCUACGGCCAGGAUCUAAUUUAAUAUUAUACUUGCUCUAUAAAACAGCAAAACACAUGGUUUUGUUAUUUAGCCUAAACCGUGAGCCCCUUUUUAAUCAAAUUGCGUUUUCUUUCUUUACUUUCUUUUCUCACAAGCUUCAAACAUCUGUGUAUAAACUUGAGCAGAUAAGAAAUAUUGGCACAAAUUCGUUACCAAUUUUUAAUGUCAUGGAAUUAGACGGGAACUGAAUGCGUUGUUGUUAUCGCUGUUAUUGCAGACUAGCAAUAACAAUUGGAGACACUUGAAGAUAAUUUGCCUGCUAUUGGAUCUAUUAUUAUUAUCGCUAGUCUACAUUUAACUCCUUAUACUACUUGUCUGCAAUUUAUUUUACUACAUAAAUAUUAAUCCUCUUUUCUCAUUUGCAAUUUGAUUUUGGUCCUUAAAUUGACAGUUGAUAAUAAAAAUUAAAAGAGAGAGAGAGAGAGAGAUGCCCGAUUAAUUAUCAAAUCUUGUUUCGAUGAUCAAGAAAUAGAGGAGAACAAACAAUUGAGAAGUAAGCAAAAAAGGUAAAAGGAAAAAAAAAGAAAGGAAAAGUAUAAAGAUUUAAAUGACAUGUUAAUAAAAAAAUGAUGUGUUUGGUUUGACUAUUAUAUAAUGGCAUUAGCUCAAUGAAUUGGUUUGAACCGACUCGCUCUAGCCCCUGUUUGGUCUCUGUUGACUUUUGACUUAACUGGCGUAUGGAGUUGGAGCCCCAUGACGAUAAUGGUAAUUAAUAAUAAUAAAUAUCUCAUCAUCAUCUUGACUUGGAAAUUUCCAACAAAGGUUCCUGAAAUUUUUUCCACCGGCUAGCUGCAAGCUUGCAACAACAAAACAAAGCUCAAUUAAAUCAAAGACAAAAACACUAGACUUGUUAAAGAUCUGUAAGUACAGGACGAGCUUCUCCAAAUUUCUCUUUUUGAGUUAAAUAUUUAAAAGGGGAAUAAAUGAAAAUUAUAGGCUUCUUUGUAUGCUGAGUUUUUAUUAGUUUUCCAUGCGUGAGAGGUAUGCAUUAGCAUACAACAAUCCAAUAUAAAAUUAAUGAUUGUAAGACACCUAUAUUUAAAAAAAAAAAAUUUCAAGACACCUAUUAAGAUAUGUUAUACUCCUACUCUUACGUUCUCUUUCCUUUUACAAUAAUACCGAUGUAAAAGAUUUCUUGCGGAUAUUAAUAAAAGGAAAAAAAAAUAAUUUAUCAAAUUAACCUUAAAAAUAAGAUACAAAUUUAUAAAAACUUUUACAUUAUGAUUUUACUUUUAAGAUUAAUUUUUUAUAAAAUAAUUAUUAGUAAGAUUGUUGCACACGCACAAAAAAUACUAGAUCUUUGACGCUGACAUUUAUUGGUUAGUUUACUAAUAAAUAAUUAUUGGUUAAUUUGUUAAUCAAUUUUUUUAUAGAUAAAUUAAUUAAUAUCAAGACUAUUGUUGGAAUGAUAUUAUUAAAAAAGAAAAGAAAAAGUAAAUAUUUAAUUACAAGGGUGUUUUGAGAUAUUUUUAAAAAUAUAGGGACUAAACAAAUAAUUAAGUCAAAAUACAUAGACUUAAGGUGCUUAAUGUAACUUACAACAACACAAAAGUAAUAGUAUGUGAAAGAAAUGAGAGAUCAUGGAUAACUACCUUUGGAUUUGAUGUAACUUAUAUAUGAUAUAACUUACCCAAGACCAAAAGAUAAUAGUAGGUGAAAGAAAUAGGAAUCAUAGAUAACUUAUGCACGUAUAUACAUAUGAUAUAACUAAAAAAAAACCUAUGCACGUAUAUAUUUAUAUUGAACAACCGCCAUCAAGAUUGAUAGUUAAUUAUACCAAAUAAAAAUAUGCACUGGGUCAAAAAAAAAAAAAAGUACAUGUUUUAUUAUUAUUGCCUGGUUGUACUUGUGUGUAAGGGAGAUUUUUCUUUGCAAAUUUUCGUCCCCCCCCAAACAACAAUCUAUAGAUUUAUUUUUGCCUUUGGUGCAUUGAUUUUACACCAAAAAUCAAGGCCUAAUGGUGACUAAUUCAUCACAUACCAUUAAAAUGUGAUCUAGAUGUGAACACACAUAAAACAUUAAAGAAUGUACCAUGUCUCAUGAAUAUAAAUUCAAAACAGGACAUAACUGGCUUAUCAAUGUUGAUAUUCACCCAUAUUCAUUAUACAAUCAAUUAGAGAUCGAAAUGCAUACCUUUUAAUCCCCGAAUGCGGAAACAGAUCAAAACGAAGUUAUAUCACUAUUAAUUUGAUAGAUCACCUUUCAAGAAUAUAUUGUCUUUUUCUUUCUUUUUUACUCUCUGUAUUUUCUAAUAUGUUCUACAUGUUUUCAUGCUUUUCACAUCUAUAUUUUAGAUACAAUAGGUAUAUUUAUAUAGAAACUCAUGAGAGUGAUAGAAGUCAAUCAAAAGACUUCACAACUCUUAUGGUUUAAUUAAACUUAUAAUAGCCUUAUGGAACUUUAUCAAAAAGAAGUUUUUGAGUUAUUUUUUAUAUUGGGUCGAUCCAGCCCAUCAUGGGUUCUAAUUGCAACAAGAGUUGGACUAUUGGCACCCCUCUAAAAUCUUUUAAAAUCACUCUUAUAUUAUAAUUACAUUUAAAGACAAGUACUCUAAUAUAUCUCACAUUUAUUUUAUCUCACUUCAAACUUUUGUAUUUUCUUUCUUAAAAAAAAAAAAACUCUUGUAUUUUCUUUGCUAUCAAACUCACACAUGUAAUUUUUUUUCUCAAAUUCUCUAUAAAUUUUUCUUCAAUUACUAAGACAAUCUAUUGAUAAUAAACAAAACACAUUCUGAUAAAAUUAUCUACAUUUUUUUAAGGCUCAUAAUAAAACUUUUUAUAUCAUAAUCUUUCAAUAUAUUUUAUUUAAUUCAUUGAUUUUUAUCAAGAAGUUUAUCACCCAUAAACGUUUGUUUGUGAGGAGUAAGAAAAUAAUAGAAAAUUAAAAUAUUCACAAAUUAAAUGUGUUUAUUUAGAAAUAAGGGUAUUUUUGGCAUUAAGCUUGGUAUUAUUGAAAAAGGAGUUUUAGAAGAAUUUUGGAGGGGUGCCAAUAGUCCAACUCUUGCAACAAUCACCUUAAUUAACUUUUAUACUAAUUGUAGUUGCAAGUGUUUAUGAAUUAUUUUAAAGCUAUAGUUGAAACGGUCACAGAUGCUAGACAACAAAACCAAAUAGAGCUCUAAACGAAUGCAUGAUCUAGUCUGGAUCAAAAUAUUUUAUGUAUAGUACUGUUAUAGAAAGCUAGCUAACAGGUAAAGUGGUAAUAAUACUUUUAAAUAAACCUCAUGGACUUGAUUAAUAUAAAGAUCAGGUCAACAAAUUAAUUGAUUGUACUAUAAAAAAAAAAUGAUCAUUAAUUUCGAUAGUGCUGUUGACAAACAACAUUUCCUUCAUUUGUCUUUCCUAUCAAGUAUUUUUGGCAACGAUAUUAUCUAAAUCAUGCCAAACAAUUGAUCUGAUGAUUUUUGAGAUGCCAUAACUUCUGGCCCGGGCUUAUGCUUUUGAGGUCCUGAUUUGCUCACUCGGACAGGGUUGGGCCAGAAUUAAGCCGAUGAGAUGCCAUAACUUCUGGGGCGGGCUUAUAUUUUUGAGGUCCUCAUUUGGUCACUCGGAUCGGGUUGGGCCAUAACUUCUGUUGACAAACAAUACUUCCCUCAUUUGUCUUUCAUAUCAAAUAUUUUUGGGAGAAAACUAUGGUGCAACGGUGGUACGGUAUCACCGUUGCACUCAGCCAUUGGAUCUCACUGGAUUCAUUCAUCCAAGUGGAUCUAACGGCUGGAUGCAACGGUGAUACCGUAUCACCGUUGCACCGUAGCCAGACCCAUAUUUUUGGCAUCGAUAUUAUCCAAAUCAUGUCAAACAAUUGGUUUGAUGAUCUUUGAGAUGCCAUUACUUUUGGGCCGGGGUUAUAUUUUUUAGGUCCUGAUUUGCUCAUUCGGGCCGGGUUGAGCCAGAAUUUUAAGCCCCGGUUUGUAUAUUUAAAGUGUAAUAAAAUUGAAUUAUUUUGCUCAUAAUUAAUAUAAUGCAAUGAUGCACAAUGAAAUUAUAAUUUUGUUCCAAAUUAUGGGGAUUAAUUUGUUGAAAUGGUACUUGAUGACAUCACCAUUUCGAUAAGAUAAAUAAGGGGUUCCAACAUAUUGCUAAUUUCUAUCACUAUUUUGAUACCGUCAUCAGCACCGCAAGUUAAUCGUUUGAAGGAUGAAGUUAUUUACACUGAAAAUUUACUUAUAAUAUUUCAAUACUAUUGCUUGGGGUCCUACUAUAGAGGAGGAUCAUAAUUCCCUACUAUAAUGCAAUUUUUUUACAGCUUGUUUUGUUGCUAAUAAUUUUUUAUUACUGGAAACAACAUUGUCAUUACACAUUGCUAAAAUUUUAUAACUCAUAUUGUAAAAUUUAUAAAUUGUACAUACAACAUAAAUUUUGUUAUCAAUAAAAAAAAAUGACUAAUCUUAUUUAGAAAUAGAUCCAACAUAGCAUAUGCUUAAUACAACAUAGCAUAUGUUAUCAAUAAAACCUAGUAGUGGUCCCAUUAAUUUAAUCUAGAGGGGGCUUAAUAUGAAUGCAAUUAAAAUUUUUUGUAGUAAUGAUGGAAAAAGCAAAGAACUAUGGCGGCACGUCGAUAGCAGUGGCAUCGAGGUCUAUUAGGGAUCAGGAGCUUAGGGUUAUUUUACAUGGAAACCCAAAGUUUUUUUAUUCAUGAUCAAACUAUAGAAUUAGAGAAAAAUUUUCUUUCCUAGUGAUAAAAGAUAAUGAGGAAAAAAGGUAGAGGCAUAAUUUUCCAUAUCAAUGCAUAUACUUUAUGUCAAGCUCGUUUUUCAUCUGCAAAUCUAAUUAAAUCUGGCUCAUAUUAUUGUCAAGCUUAUUUCCUCUUCAGAUUGAGACUAGUUUACUAAUGUAACUCGCUACAGAAUUUUUUUUUUUUUUAAUUUCUCGGGUACUAAGGUUGCAGCAACGUGCUACUGUAUUCCAUUCUUUUAAUUGAUCAACUGGUUCUGUUGUUUACAAACAGUCUCUCAACGAUCUGAAAUGUUAGAAGGUAACGUGAGAAUAUGACCAGUAUAUUCGAUUUCACAAGUUUCGUUUACUCUUAUAUCUUUUGAAACAAUGCAGGUUGCUGGAUUUAAUGCUCCGAAUCAUAACAGGUAGGUUGCACUUGCUCCUUAGAUUUGAAAUGUUGAAUUGCUUCCGCAUAUAACAUUAUGUUUUAUUUGAUUGAGGAUUCCAUGGUCUACGCUUCUUGUUGCCCUCUGUCUUCUUAGUUGUGAAUUCUGAGCAAGUUGGAUUUUGUCUUUGUUUGUUUGUCUAUAUAUAUAUAUUAAUUGCAUGAGACUAUUGUUCAAGAGUACAACUCAUAUGAUAUGAGAUUAUAGCGGUGUUCGCGGAUCGGAUUUUACGGAUUGGACAUCAAUCCAUAUCCGAUCCAUGAUUUUACGGAUUAUAAUUUUUCAAUCCAAUCCAAUCCAAUCCAUGGAUUGAUUAAAUUCAAUCCAAAUCCAAUUCAUACAUCUGCGGAUCGGAUACGGAUGUGACUCAAUCCAUAUCCAAUCCAUAUGUCUGCGGAUCGGAUGCAGAUUUAACUCAAUCCAUAUCCAAAUCCAUUAUUUUGCGAAUUAAAAAUUUUAGUUCUCUCCAAUCCAUAAACUAUUGAAAUUAAAAAAAAAAUCUAAUAUAAAAAUAAUUUUACUACCAAUUAAAUUUAAAAUUAAAUAAAAUUUAAACAAAUUAAUUGUUUGUUUUAAUAAUACAUUCAAAAUUUCAAAAUAUAACACAUCGAGAUUAAUUGUUCAAAUAAAACUACAAUAAUACGUUCAAAGUUUUAAAAUAUAACAUACCAAAAUUAAUUGUUCAAAUAAAGUUAUAAAAAUACAUUAAUAUAACACCAAAAUUAAUUGUUCAAAUAAAGUCACAAUAAUACAUUGAAAGUCUCAAAAUAAAACACACCAAAAGGAAAAACGUCCAUCUCCAAUUUGUGUUUUGUACUUUAACCUAAAUAAAAUAAACAUAAUUGAUAUAAAUAACACGUAAAAAAAUUUAUUUAAUGAACAAAUUAAUAAAUAUUUACCCUCAUAUCCCAUCAAAUGCCAUCAAGCUUCAUCAAAUAUGUUAUUGUCAGCUCCCAAAAUCUCUGCCGUAUAAGACAAGAAAAAUAUCAAUUUUUAAAAUAGAAUAACAAUAUAAAGUCAAAUAAUAAUAAUCAAUAAAUAAAAAUUAAAGUUAAAUUGUUACAUUUUACCUGUCUCAAUAUGCUCAAUCUCAUCUAUUACUUCAUCAAGAUUUAUCGGAGUUGAACGUAGCCAAUUUUGUGUGCAAAUUAGUGCCUCCACCAUCCUUGUAGAUAGUGAGCACCGAUGUAGAUCAAGAACAUGCUCACAAGCGCUAAAUGCUGACUCAUAUGCCACAAUGGAAACAGGCAUGACCAAAAUAUCUCAAGCAACAUAAGACAAAAUUGGAUAUUUGGAAGAAUUAAUCUUCCACAAAUCCAAUACAUCAAUUUAACUUGCCUAGCAUCAACCUCAGUAUCAACCUCUAAUUCUUUUUCAUCAUUUACAUCUUCCACAUCAUCACCAUAAAGCAAUUUGUAUUCCUCAUAUAAACUAUGUAAAUUAUUCCGCGCUUUAACAACCAACUCACUAGCUUUAAAUUCACCAAAUAACACUACAAAACAAUAUCUCAAAAAUCGUUCUUUAUGUCGAGGAUCAAGCAAAAUAGAAACAAACAAAUAAGGGUUGAUUGUUUCAUAAUUUCCCCAAUACUUAUCAUACUUUGUUUUCAUAUUUUCAGCCAUUAUCUUUAAAAAUAAAUCCUUACUAUCCCUCCAAGCUUGCAAUUGUGUAUGAAUCAAACAUAAUUGGCGCCAAAAAGUAUUGGAUGUCACAUAUAAAGAACCCGAAAAUGUCAAAGUGGCAUCAUGAAAAACCUUCAAGAAUUUAAUGAAAUAACGAGCAUAUUCCCAAUCAAUUGAAGAAGGACACAUUUUUUGCUCGCUCAAACAAAACUCACGAAUGUAUUGUGCAUCAUGAAGCUCUAACCGAUCAAAUACUUUUUCAUACUUUUCAACAGCCUCUAACAUGAAAAAAAUGGAAUUUCAUCUAGUUACGACAUCUAGACACAACAACUUAUUUGAAGAAAUUUUCUCUCGCUCUGCAUAUGCUUUAAACUUUUGUGUCCUAGAAGGUGAAGAUCUAACAAAUCUUACAACAUUGCGAAUUCUCAAAAUCGACUAAUGAUACUCUUUUAACCCUCUGCAACAAUGAGAUUUAAUAUAUGUGCACUACACCUCAAAUGCAUAUUUUGACCCCUUAAGAUUGCACCAUUCCAAUUGUUCACAACUUUUGACAAAUAAAAAACAGCACCAUCAUUAGAAGAAGCAUUAUCAACCGUUACUGUAAAAACUCUCUCAAUGCCCAAAUCUAAUAGGCAUGUUUCAAUUUGCCUACCAAUUGUUUCACCUUUAUGGUCAGCAGCUUGACAAAAAUUCAAUAUUUUUUUGUGCAAUGUCCAAUUAUCAUCAAUAAAGUGAGCUGUAAGACACAUAUAACAAAGAUUUUGAGCUGAAGUCCUUGUGUUUGUAGUGAGGCAAACUCUUUGAUGACUACUCACAAAAAAAUCAGUCAAAUAUUUCUUUGUUUUUUUGUAAAGUUGGAAAAUAUCACGAGCAAUAGUAGUGCAAGAUGGUACUUUAAAUCUAUUUUCAAAAACUCCCAACAUUUUCCUCUACAACUCUAAAUGACAUCUCAUCUUUUAUAAUAAACUUAGCAAUUGCUUUCCUACAAGCCUCAACACUAUAGGUCGUUGAUACAAGGCUACAUGGCUCUCCAUUUUUCACUGGUUGGUAAGACAAUUUUUUUUGUUUUUUGUCCACUCGAGCUUGACCGGGAUAUUUUGGACAUCUCUCUCUUAUAUGACUUAAUAGACUAGAUGUUCCUUUGUUAAAACCACAUUUAUAUUCUUUUCCACAAUAUCGACAUUUGGAUCUAGGAUGUAGGGGAUCAGAACUUAAUUGGAUAAAAUGCUCCAAAGCUUCUGAAGUAGUGGAUUUAUUGGGCGUACCUUUAGCUUUACUGGAUGAUUUAGAACUUAAGGGAACUGAAUCUACAGCUACAUGUUUUCCUUUAUCAAGUUUAGAAGUCAUUUACACCACCAAUAUGAAAAAUCAUUAAAAUUAAUUACGAAAAAUGACAUGAACAAUUUAAGUUUAAAAAGAAAGUAAUAAUUUAAGUUUAAUUAAUUCAAUCAGUGAGGUCUUUGCAUAAACACAAAAUUCUUGUUUAAUAAUAGCAAAAAUCAUUAAAAUUAAUUAUGAAAAAUAACAGGAACAAAUUAAGUGAUAAGUAUUGGAAGAAAAAAACACAAGAAAGUUAAACUAGCAUCUACUUCCAGGGGGAAUUCCUCUUUAUUAACAUCAAAAUGUUAAGAUAAUUCUUCCACACCCGUCUACUUUAAGCCAAUACAUAUAAAUAAUAAAAAGUUGUUGUACAGCCAGCCUUAUUACACACUCCUACACAAAACAAAGUCUAAACUAUUUCCCUAACAAACUUAACUUAACGACCCAUACUUAUCUUACCCCUGUCUCUAACGAAUUUUAUCCCAACAACUCAUCCUUUUGUUAUUUUAUUUAGUCAUAUCAUUAAACUCGAAAAGAAAGUAGGAAUUUAACUUUAAUUACCUUAAUUGGUGAGGUCUUUGCACAAAAGCACAAAAAUCCAAAAGAGCCGCGAGUGUUCGAGGAAUGAGAAGGCUGUGAUGGUGAAAUUUUUCAGCAGGAACCAAUGAUUGUGAAGUGGCUUGAUGGACUCGGGGAAGAAGAUGGCUUGAUCUCGCCAGAAUCACGUGGCCGACGUCCUUCAAAUUGGUGUCCAGAGUGUAUCGAACUGGGUGUUGCUAGUGCGUGUGACGGCAGGGAAGCAGAAAGCUUAGGGUUUUUUGUUUACAAAUUGUUAGUGGUCACUGACUUGCGUUAUGCUACUUUACUUUUGGCGUUAUGCUACUUUACUUUUGGGUUAUGUUACCUUUUUUUUUUUUUGACAAUAGCGUUAUGUUACUUUACUUUUGGGUGACUUUGCAAAUUGUUGGUGACUUGAUUACUUUACUUUUUGCUAGUGCGUGUGAUUUUGUUUUUAUUUUGUUUUAUAAUUUUUAUAAGUUAUAUUUGUAUUUUUGAUUAUUUAAUCAUUUUUUAUUUUAUAUUUUUAUUAGGUAAUGGCUAACUUAUAUUAUGGUGCUUAUGUAACUAUGUAAUGUCACAUUUAUAAUAUUUUUUAAAAUAAAUAAAUAAAUAUUUUUUUGCGGAUUCACGAAUUUUUGCAGAUUCACAGAAGUAAAUCCAUUUCCAAUCCACCGACUGCAGAUUUUUAAAAUUUCAAUCCAAUCCAAUCCACCAAUCAAAUGAUCGAAUUUUUACGGAUUGAACGGAUCAGAUCGGAUUCUGAACACCCAUAUGAGAUUACAACUGAUAUUUACAAAUUAGACUAUUACUGGACGGGGCCGGCUCAACCAUAUUUGGGGCCUUAGACAAAUGAUUUUAAUUAGUUCCACUUAUUUUUUUAACUUAAAUUAUAUCUUUUUUACUACUCAUUUUUCUAGACUAAACUAACUUUUAUAUUCUUCUAUUCUCUAAAGUUUUUUUAUAUAGUUUUAUUUCAAAAUAGAUAAAACAAGCACUCAAAAAAAGUAAAUGAAUAAAAGAAUAUAUUAAAAAGAAAUAAGAACAAAUAAAUAACACAACUAAUUAAGAGAGUAAUUGAAAGAUAAAAUCUGCAAUUUGAGAUGAAAUCAUACAUUAACUUAUGUUUAUAUUAAUUGUUUGAGGGUUUAAGUAAUGACCAAUAGCUAUAGAGAAUAUAGAAAGCUAUUAGAUUUUUUCUUUUUCUUCUUUAGUGGAAAGUAGAGGAAGCAUGAUUUUUUUCCUUCUCCCUCUUUCUUUCUCUGAAACACCAAGAACAUAUCAUGUCUUGAUUGUUGGACGAAAAAUUUAAUGGAUAAGUAAAAAAAUGUAGGGCUUUUAUAGAGGUUUAAAAUGAAUAUAAAACUUUUGAAAUAUAAUAUAUUAAUUCUAACAAUGAAAUAGAGAAUUUGUAGGAUUGAAACUAUUAAUUUAUCGGUUUUGUAGAAAUUAAAACUACUAAGUACUACAUUAAAUAAACUUUAUAGGAAUUUAAUAGUUUAUUUAGGAAAAUAUAAUUACAAAAUAAUAAUAAAUUAAAUGAAUAAUAAUGACUUUUAAAUUUACUUUCUCGUUUUAUAUACAAAAUAAUUAUCUCGUGGGGCCUUCGUGUAAAGUGGGGCCCUAAGCAACUGCCUAAAUUGCCUAUAGGUCGAGCCACUAUUGUUAUUGUGACUAGUUUAUAUCAAUUCUUGUGAAGCAUAGUCUAGAUUUUUACUCUCUCCAAUAUUCGAGGGGCGUCUACUUCACUCACAUUUCGAAAGGGAGAAGAUUGUCUUCACUCAAAUUGAGGAAGGAAAUUAAACUCUCAUAAUAAAUUGUGGGGGCUUAAACCCAUGACCUCACAAUUGCAAGGUUUGUGUUCUAAGCACUAGGCUAAAACCUAGUGGCUAGUUGGCCAUAUUUGUUUAGUUUCUAUAAAUAUAAUAAUAUUAAACUUGUAAGGAAAUGAGAGACGUUAACAUAAAUGGAUAUAAAUAAUGAUUAACAUAGAGGAAUUAGAGAUAAAAAUUAUUUGUUUAGAUAAUGUGAGGCGAAGGCUUAGCUCAAGUGCUAAGAGCAUUGCUUUCUUAGAGCCAAUAUCUUGAGUUUGAGUCUCAAUAAGAGUGAAUGGACUGAAAUUCAGUGAUAUUAAAAAAAGUAUAUAAACAAAAAUUUGUUAAUAGUAUUUAUUUUUUGCUGAGGUUGGAUGAGAUAUAAAAUUGGAGCUUAAUAGUUCCACCCAUUUAAUAAAUCAUAAAUAUUGGUAGAAAUUUAAAAAACCUAAAGGAUUUUAAUAUAGUUUAAAUAAGAACUAAAAUAUUUGACCCUCAGGAGCCCCGCAUUUCUUAUUUAACCCUAUCAUAAACUUAUAAUAAAUUCUUAAUACACCUUAAAAAAGGUAAAUAAAUAAAAAGAUGCUGUCAUUUUUAUCUUUACAAUAUAAUAAACGAAAUUCAUAAAGUAAUUUUAAAAUGGUUAAGGUUUAGUCAUCCAUUUAUAAAAGAAGAUUGCACCAUAUAUUUUAUUUUAACAAAGCCCAAGCCUACCAAACAAGCCAUUUUUUAAAUUCCCUAUAAAUGGAAGAUGUUUUUAAUUUUUAAACAUAAGUUAAAAUAAAAUUGAUAAGAAGGAUAAAUAAGUUAAAAUAAAACUGAUAAGAAGGAUAAAUUAAGGAUUAUAUUGAUUAUAUUGGAAGAGAGAAUUUAUUUAUAAGUUUAGGAUGAGAUUAAUGGCCAAUUUGGUAAUGUUGUGCCUUUUAAAAUUAUUGAUGUUAGUUGUGCUGCUGUGAAGAGAAUCAACUAGUGCUUGGUAAAUUUCAUUUUAAAGAAUUUUGAGAGUUUUACAAGCAGUUGUAUGUAGUUGGUAAAUUUUACUGUUAAACUUCUGUAAAUAUAAAUGACUGGCUUAGUAUAAUAUUAAAUAAAAUUUAUUUAAACAUUCAUAAACAUAUAUAUAUAUAUAUAUAAUUAUUUUUUAUUGUGUACAUAUAAUAAUUAAUAACUAAAAUAAAUAUUUUAGAUUAUUAAUUUUAUUUUUAUUUUCAAUAUAAUUAGUAAUUAUAAUAAUCUCUUUAAAAUUAAUGAUUUUAUUUCAUAAUUAAUAGGGAUAUAAUUUUAGAUUUUUAUAAUAUGUAUGAGAGUAUAUAUGGAAUCAUAUUAAAUAUAAAAGUGAUUCUCAAAAUCAGAUUUUGAAAAGUUACUCUUAUUCUUAUUUUUUUCAAAAUCUACUUUAGGAUAAGGUGAUUUUGCGAAAAGUAAUUUUUAGAAAAAUUUAUCAAAUACCAAAAUUAACUUUUGGUUUUCAAAAAUCACUUUAAGCCUCUUACAAGGAUCCCAAAUGAGCCCUAAUUAAGAAAUAGAGGUUGAUAAGAGAAAUCAAGGGGGUUCAAAUAUCACCACCCUUUUUCCUUUUUAAGAUUUAAUCAUGUUACUUCUAAUUAGUCAUUAAUGUAAUGAAUAUAUGAUGUAGGACGUUAAUUUAAGAUUUAAGAUUUUUUAUUAUUCUAGGACUUUUUAUUUUAAUUGGAGUCUAUUAUAGUAUGUGUCUAAUUUUUUUUAUUUCUAUUAUAAUUGUGAUUUAUUUUCCCUUUUUAAGUUAACUUAGAAAAUUGGGUUUACUCUAUUAUAAAUAGAGAGAUAUUGUUAUUGUUUUCAUAACUUCAGAUUUAAUUAUUCAAUCCUCUUUAUAAUUCCCUCUGGGAUUAUCUAUCAAAAUCUCUUUUGUAAAGUCUCUUAGAUUAGAGCCUUUUUUAAUCUCACUUUAUGCGUUUUUAAAAAUCUCAUUAGGUCGUUUGGGUUAGAAUGAGAUCUAAUCACACAUCGAUUAGAGCGUAAUCUAAUCGCAUUAGCUUGGUCUAGUACUAAAAUGAUAUCUAGUGUUUCUAUCCAAUUAAUUCUGCUUCCAUUAUGCCGCUCCAUCAAUACAAAAAUUAUAAAUCAAAGAUUUUUAAGUAAUUAUUAGUUAUUGGGGUAAUGGUCUAAGCAUAGUUGGUUAAUCUAUUACAAUAAUAUUUUGGCUCCCCAGCGUGGCUCGGAACUGGCCUUAAUUUUUAAAGCUUAAGCCGCAAAGCUUGAGAAUCUCAUACUCUCAUAUAUUGGGAUGGGCAACCUCAAUCCAAUCGUAUCCAGCCUAAUUAAAUUUAAAUGGGUUGAUUAGGUUAUAAUGGGUUGAUUGGGUCAAUUUGUUUUAACCCAAGAACCAUAAAAAUUACAGCAUAACUAAUGUCAAAUGUCAACUAACCCUUUUUAUUCUUUUAUAAAAUAGACUCUUUUUAAUUUCUCUUAGUUAAAGUUGAUAUUGAUUAAUUCUCUAAAUUCAAAAUUCAGUAAUCAAACUCGAAUUUCACUAAAAGUUAGUUGACAGAUUUUUAAACAUUAUGUCAUAUAGUUUUUUAUACAAUAUUUAUUUAUUUUUGCUUUGUUUAUUAAUAUAUGUUAGGUACAAUGAGAAUUAAUGUGUUUUUUUUUUUCUAUUUGAAUCAAUUUUAAGUACCAAAUAGUUUUUAAGUUGUUGUUUUAUAUUUAUGAUUUUUUUAUUUUUAAUGUUAAUCAACCCAAUCAACCAAACCCAAUCCAACACAAUAAUUUAAAGGUUGGAGUAGUUUGAGUUGGAUAUGUUUAUUUAUUUAUUUUUUUUGAUUACAUGAGACUAUUGCUCAGAUUACAACUCAUAUUACAUGAGAAUAUAACUGAUAUGUACAAAUCAGACUAUAACUGGGACCAACAUACAUCAAAUCUAAUGGAGCGCUGCCCAGAUUUUAACCCUCUCAAAUAUUCGAGGGAUGUCUACUCCUCGCACUGGGGCAAGGAAACAAACUGCCUUCACUCAAUUUUAUUUGAGGAAGGAAACACCCCCACAUGCAUUGUGGGGGUUCGAACUGCUGCUCUCCAACUUGGAGAGCAGCAGCUCUCACCACUCGGCCUUUGGCCGAGUGGCUAGUUGGAUAUGUUUAUUUGGUUAGGUUGGGUUGGGCUGAUUUUUUCUUAACCCAAUUAAUAAUAGGUUGAGUUGGAUUUUCAUAAACUCAAUCCAAUCCAAUCCAAUUCUUGCCCAACCCUGCCCUCAUAUAUCCUUAAGUGGACUGUGGAUAAUUUAUAAAAGUUUAGGGUAUUUUUGAACUUUGGCAUUAAGCACAUCGGGUGGAAGCUUAAUAAUUUCCCCAUUUUAAUUGUUAUAUCACAUUAUCUAUGCAUAAUUUAUCUACUUGAUGUUGUAAUAUGAUUUCUUUGAUUUUGAGUUUUAGUUAGCGCGUGAAUUAAAAAAAAAAUCCUACUUGACGUAACUAUCUGUUAAAAACAUAAAAAAAAAAAGAUCAAUUAUAAGUUGGAAAUAGUAACGUAGUAGGUUUUUUCUAGUACUUUCAGAAAUAAAAAUCAUUUGAAAUUUAAAAUUACUCGAUGCUAAGUUGUUUAAAUUUAUGAACAAUCAUUUAGUUGAGUUAGUUGGCAUUUUCUUCCCUUUAUUUUAAAAUGAAAGAUUCGAGUCUGACUGUUUAAAGUUUAAUAGGCUUCGGUUGUACGCUGGACUUUGAUUGAAAUUUUGAACUGCGUGUUCGACUUUGGUUGCAUUUUUUUUUUUUUAUUAACAAAGGGCUAUGAAAAGAGCUAAAGCAACACUAAACGAGAGUGUGCAACCCCAAAACAUCAUUGUUUAAUAUGCUGAGCAUAUUUAAAGCAAGAGACUGAAAGCAAUGUAAACCUAAAGGAAAAGAUAAGCUAUAAGUAGCAAGGAAAUCUACUGCUGCAUUUGCUUCCCGAUAGAUAUGGUUCACUUGAAUCAACCAAUCACGUCUUUGGUUGGAUUUUUUAUAAUAUUAAAAGACGGUUGUCUGAAUUUAAAUGGAAAUACAUAAAUAAAAUUUGCUGACUCAAGAACUUACUAAGAAUAUAUCAAUUCAAUAUUGACCCUAGUCCAUAUUUGUGCAAUUUUGCAUAUAUGAGGGAAGAUUUUUGUCCAGUUAGUUGGAAGUAGCUAGAGUCCGAACAUAUAAAUAUCGCCACUGCAGAGCUACAUAUAUCUGAGUAGGGUCUAAGAAAAUUUCCAACGUAAUUAAUUACAUGAAGAUUAUAAUUAAUAUGUAAAAUUGAUGAUAGUUCAUGCUGAGAAUGUUCUCUUUAAUUCUGGUAUACGUUUCUCAAGUUAUUUCCUGUGUCUUUCCUAAUAAGGUCGAACCACGAAACAAAGUGUUUAUCAACGGCGGGACCUCUCAAGAUAUUUCCUGUGUCUUUCCCCUAUACGGUCGAAUUAAGAAACAAAACGUGUAUCAAUGGCGGGACCUCCACAUCAUGAGCCGUUUGAUCAAAUUUCAGUGAAAUUGAAAAUGUAAAAUUUUCUCUAGAAAUAGAUAAAAUUGGGAGUAAUGAGCCAUCAUCAGGCAAUUCAACCAGGAUUGAGCUCGGUAAAGAACCGGAUGGAUCAACUCCAACUAGAAUCCAGCUUGCAUAUAUAAAAACCAUAAUUCUUUUCUUUGGUAUUUGUAAUGGUAGACCGAUGCCACUAGUAAUUUCAUAUCAAGUCGUAUCAAUUUGUAAAUAGAAGUUCAUAUCAUUACUUCUAUCAACUUGUGCCCUACGUAGUUGAGUCUCUGCAGCUAAAGUCCAAUAGAGUAAAUAGGCCACCUUGGCCUGUCCCAUAAGGAAUAAUAGUCAAUUUUCUUGACUUGACUUAGUGAAAGUAUAACAAAACAUCAUCGAAAUUUCCAAUAAUGCCGUGGGACUCAGGUAAUGCAAAAUUUCCACAGUCAGAGCCACCCUCGGCCACUCUAUGUAGACCCUCACAAGCACAUACUUAAAUAAUUACGUAUAGAUUAUUUAUGAACCAUUAUCCAACAUUACAUCAACCUUAGACUUAUAUCUAAAUGUUUAAGUGUUGUUUAGUUGUUAAACUCUCUUGGAUCAUUAACUUUGCCACACCCGUUAUUAUAAUUAUUAUUGUUCUUUAUAGGCACACCCAUUAUUCGUUUUUCUCCAAAAUGGUCUCAAUUUAUUCUUUCUUUCUUGUUACCCUUUCUGUCACCUGGGCUCAUGCAACCAAAUUCAAUAUCACAAACAAUUGCCCCAACACCGUCUGGGCCGCCGCGGUGCCCGGAGGCGGCAGAAAACUCGACAACGGUCAAACAUGGACCAUCACAGCCGAGCCAGGCACAACAAGAGCCCGCAUUUGGGCUCGAACCAACUGCCAGUUUGAUGCUUCCGGCAAAGGCAAAUGCGAGACCGGUGACUGUAACGGACUCCUCGAGUGCCAAGGCUACGGUACAGCACCUAGCACCUUGGCCGAGUACGCGUUGAAGCAAUUCAAUGACAUGGAUUUCAUUGACAUGUCCAACAUUGACGGAUUCAAUGUUCCCAUGGAAUUUAGCUCUCUCUCCCCCUCUUGCAACCGCGUGAUCAAGUGCACUGCUAACAUUCUUGGCGAGUGCCCUAAUGAAUUGAAGGUUCCUGGAGGAUGUAACGGACCUUGCCAUGUGUUCAAGACCGACAAGUACUGUUGCAAUUCAGGCAACUGUGGACCUACAAAUUUCUCCAGGUUUUUCAAGGAGAGGUGCCCGGAUGUUUACAGUUACCCUAAGGAUGAUGCUACCAGCGUAUUUACUUGCCCGAGUGGGACCGAC